AGGAAGCCCCGAGGCAGACGACAGGUUUAUAUCGAUCUUCAAAUAUAGGCUGUGUUUUUCUCCAGUAACGAUGAACACAUUCUCACAGAGGCGCUCCAUCCUCUGGCUGUUCCCAUUCCUGAUUUGGACUCCAGCACUCAUGCCCCUUCACCCAUGACUGGAUUGCAGCCCACCCUCCACUCUCCCUGUGAGAACAUCAUGUCUGACUUGAAGUUAGUCCAGUAUGUGCUGUACUACACUUUCUCCUCCAGAGGAGGACUCAGCUUGUCUCUCACAGAGUGCCAUGUGGAUGUCACCCAGUUGUGAACACAAGAUGGAUCAGCUUGUGAUUGUGGCCAAUUAAAAGUACUUAUAUAAAGCCUCUGAUCCCUGGAUCUGGAGGAACAGGAGACAAGAGGAUAGACAAAACCCUGAAAACUGAGCUGCUGGGGUCUAAAUGCACUGCAUGAUUCCUUGGCUUCGUCUCCUACUGGAUUUAACAACGCCUUUGCUUUACCACUCCUAAGGCCUUAAUAAAACAAACAGGGCCACAUACGUGUCAUGAAUUCCCAUGAUGCUGACUUUCAGGAAUCAUCAAUAAAUACAUAACAGUGAAGCUAUUUAACAGCUAAGUAUAUAGAAUAAAUGUUGAGCCAGAUGGACAAGAAAGCUGAGAAAGCUGCAGGAAUUCCUUUGACCUUCAGUAAUACUGACUGGAGAUCAGUGGCUGAGGAAUGGAUGCGUAAAGACAGUGUGGAAAAGGUAGUAGGGGUUAUACGCUGAAGUCUUUCCCCAUCUGAGGCCCUUGGGUCUGGUUAAGGCUACUAAGUGAGGGGCAGUUUUAGUGUUGGGCAGGGCCAGUAAAUACAGCAUCUGGAAAACAUUAGUCUGUUGCUGCCCAGGGGUGAGAAAGAAGAAGGAUGGGGGAUCAGA